rnacentral:lncRNA from 1 species
UGGUGGUCCUGUCAUUUGUAUGUUUUUACUUUGUGAACUUUAAAUUAUGCGGUCAGCUUACUUUCCCCCCCACACACGUUUCUUAAAGCAGAUUAAUACCCCAGUGUCCGGGGGAAACUGGGGUACAUGUGUUAUCCUCCCAGACACUCUCAAGUCACAUGCUGUCUUCCUUUGAUCUGUGUAAGUUACAGCCAAGCAGCAAAAAAACCCUUUCCAAGUCCAGGCUUUCCUCCAGGUUAUGGACUAUAUCUACGUGUACAUACAUAUAGGUCUUUUGCAGUGGUUUUGCUCAUUUGGGGACUUUUCCUGAGUUCGUGGCUAAGUCUUUAUCAGUGGCAGUCAUACAGUCAUACACAUGAACAGGUUGUAGGUUAAGGCACCAAAUAUGCUGUUCUCCAGCAGUGUGAUGCUACUUCAAAGUAGAGAUUAAGGGUUUUUGUGAUUUUCUGCGUUAUAACUCAUGUUGAGUUCUAAAUUCCCAUACAUCUAUUUCUCGCACUUGGAAACUGAAAAUAUAACGUCAGUCUGGAAGACUUUAGGCAAACAAAAACAGAUUACAAACAAUAUUAGUUGGCUAAACUUGUGCUACAGGGAGAAAAAAGACAUUCCCUUGAAAAAACCCAGUAAAAUGGAAAUAAACGAAUCUUUUGCAUGGAUAUUUUCACUGAAAAGGACUCUGUAUCCCUGUAGCUGUUCUUCCAUGCCUUUUGAUCAGGUAUUUUUUCUUCACAGACCCAAAUAAAAUCCCAGCAGCCAGGAAGAGUUCCCACCUCUAAAAAGCUGUCCCUUUGUUCAAGGCAAAUAAACUCUCUGCCUCUCAACCUUCCUGCAUCUUCCACAGGUCUGGGCUCUCCCCUGCCCAUCCUCAGCUUCAGUCAGGGGCUUUCUUACACCCAGCAUUUGUUCACUUUGGGAGCCACAUCUGGCGUUAUCUUUUCUAGUUGCCUAGCCUACCAAGUCCCUAAACCUGAGAUUCUUCAUCUCUGAAGUGGGCCCCUCACUCACAGGUUAUUGUUGUGGGACUCAAAUGUAUAAGCCAGGGGAUAAACACGCAGCACAGCACUUUGGGCACACUCGAUGACCAUUCAUGGUUUUCCAAAUGGUGUGACUCCAGAGCCCUGCCCUUAUUCUUCUAGCUCUUGUUCCAGACAUUUUACAGCAGCUCGUAGACAUGGUUAGAACCAGAUGAGGCAGCAGGUACCGUUGGGAGGGUGGGGGUUGAGUCAGCUUGCAGCCGCCAUGACUGCAGGGAGUGGUGUAGGCCUGACUUCCUCCCUGGGUUCCAGGGAUCAGAUCAAAUCAGUGGAUUGCUGCAGUAUCAUGCCAGUUCAAUGAAUUGUCAUUACCUCAUCAUUCUAAUAAAUAGAGAAUGCCCUGUCCCUACACACCUUAGGGCAGACCCAGUGUGGUCAUCUCUGAGCAUGCUGCUCUGGAGGUCAGGGGAAGUGGUUAAGACCCUUCGGUGUGCAGACCUGGAGGCUGGACACUCAUACAGUCACCAUUUAGAAAAGAGUAUAGUACAGAUAACUAAAGAUUCACACUCUAAAUUCCAUUGCCGAACCUCAGCAGGCCCAGACUUACAAAUGAGUAGCUGGAAAAGUUGCCUGGUUCAGAAUAAAACAUUGUGGAACUCCAUGGAGAAAGACUACAAGGUAAGAAAAUAAGCAUCUUGCAAAAAUAUUUAAAUUUGUGGUGAGAGUUCUGUGAUCUCUCAUUAAAGGAAAAUGCUUUGUGGAUAUAUUCGGAACUUUUUGAAACUGACAUUGAAGAGAGUGAUUCUACUUACUAUUCCUAGAGAUAUCAGCAGAAACAAAAUCUAAUUUUUGUGUAUGCUGCUAUAUGUCCUCCAGAGUUUAAUGCUUUGGGCAAGAAAUUGUCUUUUUUCCUUGAACAAAUAUUUGAGACUAUGUUAACCAUUUUUUCACCCUGUCAAUACUGUUUGUAGAUGCAGUUUUUUUUUAAAUCUGCAGUCAGAUGUACAUACAGGGGGGAAAAAAUUGAGUUCUCCAAUCAAAACAAAACACUGGAGUGCUCCGGGAGCCAUCAUUUCCAGAAUUGGAGACAGGGGUUUGGAAAGAAAUUAUUGGAAAUGGCAGGCGAUGCAAGAAGCGUUCCUUCCAUUAUAUACACUCUUUGACAUUGAGGGUUUUCAGAGCUGCAUUCCUCUGACAGAUGUUAUAAAUUUUGUAUGUCAAACAAUGAAUGAAGCUAUGUUGAGGGCUUACUAAUGUGAAUCCAACUUUAGCCAAAUUUUUGACAAAUAGACACCAGCCUAGAGGAGAAGACUGGUUCCUGCUGCCCAUGAGAGUUUUCUUUCCAUCUGUUACCAAGGCCGCAGAGAACAAAGAGGCGAGUCAAAGCCUUAUCAGGGCCUGCCAAGGCUGGUGCCCUAACUGAAAUGCCCAUUUGGAGCCAGAAGGAGGCUUAUCAUCGAGGCCUGGAUAGUUUGGUGGCUUGCUCAAGGUCACUCAUCUGCUUGAGUUCACCCCCAGCUCCUACAGGGCAGACAGCACCCUGUGGGGUUUGGAAGCCAGAGGGGCCCACUUCAAAUCCACCACUCACUGUGUGAGCCCAGGUUGAUUUUACCAUUUGCACAGCCAUUUCUCCAUCCUUAAAGGAGAUGAUUUGCCUCUUGGCAUGCCUCUGCACUUCCGCACAGGCUGAGAGCAGAAGGAGGGGUUGUGUGUAAACUCCCCUCCCCAACUCUUCCUCCUCCUCCAGUCCCUCUUCUGCUCCUUGGGCUUUGAGCCAUUCCCCUGGAAAUGGAAAAUAACUUUUUUCCUUUUGAAAUUAAAAUACCCAGCACCAAUCCCCUGAAAGCCAUUCUUGGCUUUGCAGCCCCCAUACAUAAAUUACAUUCAAAUAGGUUUGUUGAUUGGCCCAGACACAAAUUCUCCAGGAACAGUUCCAGCGUGGUUAAUCACCUGUGCACAGGAGGUGAAAAAUGUUUCAAAGUAAGAGAUUCACAUUUCAUUUUUAAGUGGAAUACCGGCCCUUGGAAAUAAGAUUCUCUUGCUCCUUGCUUGAAAUGCAUUUGGAUAUGCUGCUGAGUGGAAGCAGACAGAACAUGGAAUCCUGCUGGUAGGCCUUGCAAUAGAUGUGAGUGAAGGCAGUUUGACCCGCAUUUAUUCUUGAGGAGCCGCUGCAGAAUCCCAUCUCCAGAGGAAAGCUAAUGACAGGAAAGGUAAAAAGCCCUUCCUGUGUGUGGGCAAGGGGCCGACAAGACAUGGGCCAGAGGCAUGAAGGCAGGUACUGCGUGGCGGUGGGGGUGAGAGAGGAGUCUGCUUGAUCAUGCUGAAUCCUGAUCUCUUGCCAGCUCAGGAGAUACUCAGGAUUUGGAACACUGCCUUCCCAGCAGAACUCUUGUUGCUUAGACUCAUAAAUUUGAAAUUAAACUCCCAGGUACCUACAGCAAAGCAAUAUAGCCCUGUGGCGUUCCACUGAGCCACGUUUUGGUGGGCUGACCACAUCCUUAAGGACUCCCAUCCCAAGCCCACUUCUCUGUGCAAGCCACGUUUCACAAUAAAAAAAUUUGC